rnacentral:sRNA from 1 species
UCUACGAAAAUGGCGCAUUUUUUAGCUGAAUAUUGUGUUUGUGUGAAAGUACGGCUUGAUUUAAUCCCAUCCUGAAAUAUAUUAGAGAAAUAUAGAGAUGUGAUGCGGCCAUCUAUUGGCAUAAAGGAGGACAGCUUUUUAAUAUGGUGUAUUCCAUGGUCUUGGAAAUGGAGAUGUUAAAAAAAUUUUUUAGAAAUGAUUGCCACAAAGGCCUUCUUAAAAUGAUGCAUGCCAUCGUCUUGGAAACGGAAUCCAACUACGCAAGCAGCAAUGCAUCCAAAGGAGUGAGAGGCAUUCGAAAACCAUACCAGGACAUU